GAAGCUGCCUGGGCACUAACAAACAUCGCCUCUGGAACCUCUCAGCAGACAAGAAUUGUUAUUGAAGCAGGAGCUGUCCCGAUUUUUAUAGAGCUGCUUAACUCAGACUUUGAGGAUGUACAAGAACAGGCAGUCUGGGCUCUGGGAAACAUAGCUGGAGACAGUUCCGUUUGCCGAGAUUACGUCUUGAACUGCUCCAUCCUUAAUCCUUUGUUAACACUCCUUACCAAGUCCACAAGACUGACAAUGACACGAAACACAGUUUGGGCCCUGUCAAACCUUUGCCGAAGGAAGAACCCACCCCCAGAGUUCGCAAAGGUCUCUCCGUGUUUGCCCAUAUUAUCUCGCCUACUCUUCAGCAGUGAUUCAGACUUGCUGGCAGAUGCUUGCUGGGCCCUCUCUUACCUGUCUGAUGGCCCCAGCGAGAAGAUCCAGGCAGUUAUAGACUCUGGAGUAUGCCGGAGAUUGGUAGAGCUUCUGAUGCACAAUGAUUACAAAGUGGCUUCUCCUGCUCUGAGAGCUGUGGAUAACAUCGUCACAGGGGAUGACAUCCAGACACAGGUCAUUCUUAACUGUUCAGCCCUCCCUUGCCUCCUCCACUUAUUGAGCAGCUCCAAGGAAUCAAUUCAAAAAGAAGCUUGCUGGACCAUUUCAAACAUCACUGCUGGCAACAGGGCUCAAAUACAGGCUGUCAUAGAUGCAAAUAUCUUCCCUGUGUUGAUUGAAAUCCUUCAGAAAGCAGAGUUCCGUACAAGGAAAGAAGCAGCCUGGGCCAUCACCAACACCACAUCAGGAGGAACUCCUGAGCAGAUCAGGUACCUAGUUUCACUGGGCUGCAUCAAACCCCUGUGUGACUUGCUGACUGUAAUGGAUUCAAAGAUUGUACAAGUGGCCCUCAAUGGACUAGAGAACAUCCUGCAGCUUGGAGAGCAGGAGAGCAAGCGGAGUGGCUCAGGGGUCAAUCCCUACUGUGGCCUCAUCGAGGAAGCCUAUGGCUUGGAUAAAAUCGAGUUUCUUCAGAGCCACGAGAACCAGGAGAUCUACCAGAAGGCCUUCGACCUCAUUGAGCACUACUUCGGUGUAGAGGAUGAUGACGGCAGCCUGGCUCCUCAAGUAGAUGAAACACAGCAGCAGGUCAUCUUCCAGCAGCCUAAGGCCCCCAUGGAGGGCUUCCAGCUAUAAUGUCUGCCUCUGGGGAGGGGAGGGGAGGGGACGGGAAGCACCACCAGCCAGUGGUAGAGCAGCCCUCUGGUGGGCAGGAAGCCAGCCCCCGCCAUCACCUGCUGCCCUGGAGACUGUGCUCCAGACCUGCACCACCCCCUUCCCUGGAGGGAGGCCCUCUGGACAGACAGAACCAUCUGAGGCUCACAUUGGGUUU